rnacentral:rRNA from 1 species
CCUACGGGCGGCUGCAGUGGGGAAUAUUGGACAAUGGGGGCAACCCUGAUCCAGCCAUGCCGCGUGUGUGAAGAAGGCCCUCGGGUUGUAAAGCACUUUCAGUGAGGAAGAACGCCUGGUGGUUAAUACCCAUCAGGAAAGACAUCACUCACAGAAGAAGCACCGGCUAACUCCGUGCCAGCAGCCGCGGUAAUACGGAGGGUGCGAGCGUUAAUCGGAAUUACUGGGCGUAAAGCGCGCGUAGGUGGCUUGAUAAGCCGGUUGUGAAAGCCCCGGGCUCAACCUGGGAACGGCAUCCGGAACUGUCAAGCUAGAGUGCAGGAGAGGAAGGUAGAAUUCCCGGUGUAGCGGUGAAAUGCGUAGAGAUCGGGAGGAAUACCAGUGGCGAAGGCGGCCUUCUGGACCGACACUGACACUGAGGUGCGAAAGCGUGGGUAGCAAACAGGAUUAGAUACCCCUGUAGUC